rnacentral:rRNA from 1 species
AGAGUUUGAUCCUGGCUCAGAUUGAACGCUGGCGGAAUGCUUUACACAUGCAAGUCGAACGGCAGCACGGGAGCUUGCUCCUGGUGGCGAGUGGCGAACGGGUGAGUAAUGCGUCGGAACGUACCGAGUAAUGGGGGAUAACGCAGCGAAAGCUGUGCUAAUACCGCAUACGCCCUGAGGGGGAAAGUGGGGGACCGCAAGGCCUCACGUUAUUCGAGCGGCCGACGUCUGAUUAGCUAGUUGGUGGGGUAAUGGCCUACCAAGGCGACGAUCAGUAGCGGGUCUGAGAGGAUGAUCCGCCACACUGGGACUGAGACACGGCCCAGACUCCUACGGGAGGCAGCAGUGGGGAAUUUUGGACAAUGGGGGCAACCCUGAUCCAGCCAUUCCGCGUGAGUGAAGAAGG